AGAUCUGCAAUUGUUGAUUCACCAAGAAACAUUUUCUUCAACAAAUGACUCUCUAUCAGUAUCAAGUGAACCAAAAAUAGUUAGAAAUGGACCAAGAGCUUUUUGUAAAGAAAAGAUUUUAAAUGAUGUGAGAUUUUCAGAAGAAAAAGAAAAUUUUUUAUAUGAAAGCUGCUCAAGCAAUUCCAGUUUUUCUACGGCUCAAUCAAUAACAUCAGACAAUCAUUCAUCUUGCUCAUCAGUUAUGAGGAGGAAAGUUUCAAG
rnacentral:lncRNA from 1 species